rnacentral:rRNA from 1 species
GACAGAGGGUGCAAACGUUGUUCGGAAUUACUGGGCGUAAAGCGCGUGUAGGCGGCUACAUAAGUCGGGCGUGAAAUCCCACGGCUCAACCGUGGAAGUGCACUCGAAACUGCGUAGCUAGAGUCCUGGAGAGGAAGGUGGAAUGCUUGGUGUAGAGGUGAAAUUCGUAGAUAUCAAGCGGAACACCGGUGGCGAAGGCGGCCUUCUGAACAGUGACUGACGCUGAGACGCGAAAGCGUGGGGAGCAAACAGG